rnacentral:rRNA from 1 species
CGAGGGGCCCCUCUCUGGUUACCGAAUUCAGACAAACUCCGAAUGCCAAUUAAUUUAACUUGGGAGUCAGAACAUGGGUGAUAAUGUCCGUGUUCGAAAGGGAAACAGCCCAGACCACCAGCUAAGGUCCCAAAAUAUAUGUUAAGUGUAAAAGGAUGUGGCGUUGCCCAGACAUCUAGGAUGUUGGCUUAGAAGCAGCCAUCAUUUAAAGUGUGCGUAAUAGCUCACUAGUC